CAGAGGAGCCAGCAGAAGACAGCAAGCCCUUGCUAUAGAUAGAGAAGCCAUGGAUGAAAAGAAGCAGGCCUAAAAGACAGAGCAAAGUAACAUAGCAUUCCUCUCUACUAUCAUCCUGUACUGGAUAGGCCCCCACAAAUAAUCCUGUAUUUUGGUAAACCAAUGCUUGAGGAAGACAUGCUAGAGCAAAAACUACAACUCUAGACCUCUUGGAUAGUUUAGAUAAGGACUUUACCCACAUAAAGAAGGUGUUGCCCUGGGGACUGGCUGAGAGAAAUUACAGACUGUUACUCACUUCAAAAGAAACAGACUGCUACGAUGGUACUUACGUCACCAGAAACAAACACUUCCACAAAGAAUUUGAUUUGAUGGCAUCAUGUGGACAUAGAACUCUCAUAGUAAUGACCCAACCUGUGUUUCCAGUCAUCCUGAUGAACUCUCAACAAAAUCAGAUUGUUAUACUGUUGUUCUCACUUUACACCCAUAUUUUCUCUUGCUCCUAAAAAAGGUAUCUGGUAUUAAAUAGAAUUCUGUAUCUUAAAAAACUUGCCAUUGAGAAAAAUGAGAAGUAAUUGUACAUUUUAAUACUGAAGGUUUUAAUAAAAAAAGCAGUGUGAA
rnacentral:lncRNA from 1 species